rnacentral:lncRNA from 1 species
UCAACGACGAGCGCCUGCACCCCAACGCCUCCGAGUGGAAGCGGAACCUGCUGCGGAUCCAGCGCCUGGUGCUGAUCGGGGGCCCCGACGACGGCGUCAUCACCCCCUGGCAGUCCAGGUGAGAGCCAAAACACCCCGAAAACACCCCAAAAACAGCACAAAACCACCCCAAAAACACCCUGAAAACAGCCCCAAAACAGCACAAAAACAGCCCAAAAAAUACCCCCAAAACACCCCAAAAACACCCCAAAAACAGCACAAAAACACCCUGAAAAGAGCCCCAAAACAGCACAAAAACAGCCCAAAAACAACCCCAAAACAACACAAAAACACCCCAAAAACAGCCCAAAAACAGCCUCCCAAAAAAACCCCAAAACAGCCCAAAAACACCCCAAAACCACCCCAGAAACAACCCAGAAACAGCCCCAAAAAAACCCAAAACAGCCCAAAAAACAACCCCAAAAACAGCCCAAAAUUACCCCAAAACACCCCAAAAUUAAUUCAAAAUUACCCCCAAAAAUCCCCAAAAUUCCCACAAAAAAAAUCUCCAAAAUUCUCCCCCAAAAUCCCCCCAAAUUCCCCGAAAAAACCCCAAAAAUCCUCCCAAAAAAAUCCCAAAAUCCUUUCCCAAAAUCCCCCUAAAAAAAAUCCAAAAAAAUCUUCCCCAAAAUCCCCAAAAUUCCUUAAAAAAUCCCCAAAAUCCUCCCAAAAAAUCCCCAAAAUUCCCAUUAAAAAAUCCCAAAAUUCCUCUAAAAAUUCCCCCUAAACCUUCCCAAAAAUCCUAAAAAUCCCUUAAAAAAUCCCCCCAAAAUCAAAAAAAUCCCAAAAUCCUCCCAAAAAUCCCAAAAAUUCCCAUAAAAAAUCGCCAAAAUUCCCAUUUAAAAAAAUCUUAAAAUUCCCCUAAAAAAAUCUCCAAAAUUCUUCUAAAAAAUCUUUAAAUUCCCAUUAAAAAACCCCAAAAUCCUCAUAGAAAUCCCCAAAAUUCCCUUAAAAAAUCCCCAAAAUUCCCAUAAAAAACCUCAAAAUCCUCCCAAAAACCCCCAAAAUUCCCAUUAAAAAAGUCCCCAAAAUCCUCCCAAAAAAUCCCCAAAAUUCCCCUAAAAAAUCCUAAAAAUCCUCCCAAAAAUCGCAAAAAUUCCCAUUAAAAAAAUCCCCAAAAUUCCCAUUAAAAAAAUCCCCAAAAUUCCCCUAAAAAGUCCUAAAAGUUCUCCCAAAAAUCCCCAAAAUUCCCAUUAAAAAAAUCCCCCAAAUUCUCCCAAAAAUCCCCAAAAUUCCCAUUAAAAAAUCCCCAAAAUUCCCAUUAAAAAAAUCCCCCAAAUUCUCCCAAAAAUCCCCAAAAUUCCCAUUAAAAAAUCCCAAAAAUUCCCAUUAAAAAAAUUCCCAAAAUCCUCCCAAAAAAUCCCAAAAUUCCCAUUAAAAAAUCCCAAAAAUUCCCAUUAAAAAAAUCCCCAAAAUUCCCCUAAAAAAUUCCCCUAAAAAUCCCCGAAUUCCCCCAAUUUUUUGGGGUCUCCCCGAAUUUCGGGGCUCCCCCCCCGUGACCCCAAAUUUGGUUCCCGAAGCCUUUUCGGGUUCUACGACGCCAACGAGACCGUGCGGGACAUGGAGGCGCAGCCGGUGAGGGGCGGGAACUGGGGAGGGGGACCCCAAAACUGGGGAGGGGGACCCCAAAAUUGGGGAGGGGGACCCCAAAACUGGGGAGGGGGACCCCAAAAUUGGGGAGGGGGAGCCC